AUGUCGGUCUUUAAAAUUCCUAAAAAGAUUGUAAAGGAAUCAUCGACGCGAUGGCGCAUUUAUGGUGGGGAUACGAGGAGAAUCAUAAGAGGAUGCAUUGGAUGUCCUGGUGGAAAUUGUGUGUCCCUAAAUCAAGGAGGAAUGGGAUUUCGUGAUAUCCAUUGUUUUAAUUUGGCGUUACUCGCCAAACAGGCAUGGCGUCUGUUGGAUAAUCCUGAUUCCUUAUGCGCUUCAAUCCUACGGGUAAAAUAUUACCCCGAUGGUGAUCUGUUAAACGCGAAGUUAAAGAAAGGCUCUUCCUUCACAUGGCAAAGUAUAAUGGCAGGCACAAAUACACUGAAACGUGGCUACAUUUGGCGAGUGGGGAACAGACACAACAUCGAUAUCUGGGAAGAUGCCUGGAUCCCAAACAAUGCAACUAGGAAAAUUGUAACACCUAAGGGAGGGAAUAUGAUAACUAAGGUAGGUGAUCUCAUUGAUCCUGCUUCUAAUACUUGGGAUGAAGACCUGAUUGAACAAACUAUGUGGCCAAUCGAUGUACAAAGGAUUCUUUCAAUUCCCCUACCGCAACAUGAUAUGCAAGACUUCAUUGCCUGGAAUUAUACAAAAAAUGGUAUUUUCUCGGUUCGAUCAGCCUAUUUUCUGGACUGGGAUCACCAGUAUGGAAGUAAACUGAAACACUCUAAUGGGAUGGGGCGAACCACAGCUAACCCUAUUUGGAGUAAGAUAUGGAAGUUAGCCUGUCCGGCAAAAGAUAAAAUUUUCUUAUGGCGUACGCUACAUGGUACAAUCCCAUGUCGAGUUACGCUAGCAAACAGACAUAUGAAGAUCUCACCCAUCUGCCCCACAUGCUCGGAGGGUUUAGAUGAUACAAAACAUAUGCUCUUCCGCUGUAGUAAAGCAAAUGAGGUCUGGAAAAGGCUAGGGAUGGAUGAUAUUACUGAUAAAGCUUGUGAAGUUGACCGUGCGGGAGAGGCAGUGCUGGAGUAUCUAGUACUCCUACCAGAUCAACAUUUGUGGAUAUUGGGUUACCAUAAUGUACGUGAGAUGAUUGCUAUUUCAGCAUGGUACCUAUGGUGGGAAAGACGGAAGCUGGUACACAAUGAAAAAACUCAAAAUGUAACUCAGAUCUAA
rnacentral:rRNA from 1 species